UAGGGAAUCUUCGGCAAUGGACGAAGGUCUGACCGAGCAACGCCGCGUGAGUGAAGAAGGUUUUCGGAUCGUAAAACUCUGUUGGUAGAGAAGAACGUUGGUGAGAGUGGAAAGCUCAUCAAGUGACGGUAACUACCCAGAAAGGGACGGCUAACUACGUGCCAA
rnacentral:rRNA from 1 species